rnacentral:rRNA from 1 species
GGGGAAUAUUGCACAAUGGGGGAAACCCUGAUGCAGCGACGCCGCGUGAGUGAAGAAGUAUUUCGGUAUGUAAAGCUCUAUCAGCAGGGAAGAGUAGAAGACGGUACCCCUUGAAUAAGCCACGGCUAACUACGUGCCAGCAGCCGCGGUAAUACGUAGGUGGCAAGCGUUGUCCGGAUUUACUGGGUGUAAAGGGCGUGUAGCCGGGAAGGUAAGUCAGAUGUGAAAUCUGGGGGCUCAACCUCCAAACUGCAUUUGAAACUACUUUUCUUGAGUAUCGGAGAGGUAAUCGGAAUUCCUUGUGUAGCGGUGAAAUGCGUAGAUAUAAGGAAGAACACCAGUGGCGAAGGCGGAUUACUGGACGACAACUGACGGUGAGGCGCGAAAGCGUGGGGAGCAAACA